UACGUAGGCAGCGAGCGUUGUUCGGAAUUACUGGGCGUAAAGAGUGUGUAGGCGGUGUUCCCAGUCUGUUGUGAAAUCUCCCGGCUUAACUGGGAGGGUGCAGCGGAAACUAGAAUGCUAGAGGGUGGGAGAGGUAAGCGGAAUUCCUGGUGUAGCGGUGAAAUGCGUAGAUAUCAGGAAGAACACCCGUGGCGAAGGCGGCUCUCUGGGACGGUACUGACGCUGAGACGCGAAAAGCGUGGGGGAGCGAACAGG
rnacentral:rRNA from 1 species